AACAACAGCUCAACUCGAACUUGUUGGCUUGUGCUUGUGGCUGUUCUGUUUGCUGUUUUUCACAAAUGCUACUAAAAUUCUGUGAAACGGUCAAAUUAUUUUAACGAUUACAGUGUCAGUUUUGCGGUAAUUUAUUACAACUUUACGAAUAGUUAGAUCGCAUACUCCGCUUGAACGCUUCUUAAACGCAUUGUGGGUCCAUCACAAUUACAAGUGCAUUGAAUGCAUCAAGUUCUGUGAUAAGAUGUACUAGAACGGAGGGUUGUCACAUCCUCCUGUCGUCAGUGCACUCUUAUGACUACCUACGGAUAGGAGUUCAGGAAACUAAUAACAAUACAUUUAUAUACAUAGUAGCCAGUCAAGGCAGAUAGAGCAUUACUUAGAGCAGCUCCGCAACAAUUUUUAAAGAGUUGGUAGUAUCAUCCGAGAUGUCACUGAGCACGCCUAUCCAAUUGGUAGCCUUGAUGAUGUCAUCAUACUGUCCUCAACUUUUCUUUUCCUUUUUCCUCUCAUGAUGUCCGUAUUAAAUUUAGCUGAUCCUGAGCUGGAGGCCAAAACGAAAAAGGCAACUGAGCGUCUCUCCGAAAAUAUGCAUAUCGUAGCAAAUGAACCAUCCCUUGCAUUUUUCCGAGUGCAAGAACAUGUCAGAAAAGCUCUACCGCCAAUGGUGGAGAAACGAAUGGAAGUUAGUCAGCUUCAUCAGCAUCUUCAAGGGCACAUUUAUGACAUUGAGUACGCUAUUGGAAAAAGCAAGGAAGGUUCAUCAGUGUACAAAAGGUUGUCAGCCCACAUAACACUGGACCUUCCUGACUUGCCUGAGUUCUCAGAUGCUAUUCGUGAAACUGCCAACAAAGUUGAGUCAAUAAUGACCUCUGCUCGUCAAACUUCCUCCCAGCAGUGAUCAAGCUAGACAACUGGCACCUCAUUGUCAUUUUUCAUCCUUUGUGAGCAGUGUCGCAUAUACCACUGAACGGUGUCUCGGACAAGUAGGCACUGCUGUCAGAACCCCUCCCCUCCUCGCACAACAUGGAGAAGUGUACCCUCACCUCUGAUGCUGGAGGACAAGACACAUCAAAAACUUCAAUGUGGGUACGGUUUUUCGCUUUAAAGAUGUUGCUGAAACGCCCGAAACCCCUGUAUGGCUCCAAACCGCCAUCGCCAUUGGAUAGAACCGAUGGAAAUAAUGCAAAAAAAGUGCAUUUUUGUGAAUGAGGGCGAAUAUAGGGUGGUUUAAUUAACUAGCAGAUAUCACUUGAGUGUAUUACAGAACUAUUCAAAAAUUGCUGUAAAAAAUUUGGGCCUAAAACGCGUUGCUGCCGAAUUGAUCCUCUAUUUAGCGUUCUAGCCGGUGACUGCCGCUAAGGGCGUCCAGCCGAAGUUCGAGCAAUAAAUCACACUCUAAAACGAAGGAAAACGUAUAUCACGAGUGAAAUAUGUCCCCUACAAGAUCCACUCCAAAAAUUGACAGAGUUCGCCGUGCAUUGCCCGUGAAAAUCACCCAUCUUCAAAAACAACGAACUCGUCAGGCAACCCCUUAAACCAAGUCUCGCCAAAAUAAAAGAAAAUGUGGUACGACGUUGAAAGGCCUAGUGACUCUUCAUAGAUUCUAGUUACACCAUCUAGCGGUAUGCCCGGAUAUUUUCCACCGUUGCCAAGCUACAGCAAAAUUCCGGGUUUUUUGGGUUCCUCCUCGUAUAUUAACAAACCAACAUUUUUACCACAGCUAGAGUUUCUUAUUAUUACAGGAAGUUUAAGUCCAGUACUUGAUAGUCCAGUACUCCAGUGCUCAUGGGAUGCUCCGGGUGUGUGAAAAUUUGGUUUUGUUGUAUAUAGCUUUCAUAUUUUCGCGCCAUGUCAAACUGUUGUAUGGCCUUCACAUUUUCCCGCUUUGUCAAGCCCGCCUACUCACUUCGGUCAUCGUCCUUCUAGGCUCUGGGCCUGUCUCGUUUUUCUUGUGCUCUUUUUGAAGAAUAAAGUGUCUUUUCAUCGUCCAAA